GGUGAGCAAGAAAAGGGAAACUAGCACCAAGAAAUGGAAGAUUGGCACCAAGAAAGGGAAAGCAACCAUGUUAGUUUCUGUAGACGACAUUCUGUUUCAUAAGGGAGCUCGCAAGCAUAGGGUGAAGCCAAUCUCUAGACUGAGAAGAGGUCCUCAAGAUUGCUGCCUCCAAGAAGGCUGAAGCUAAGGCCAUCAAAUAUGCUGCUUAUAUAGUUGGAAGGGAGGAAAAGCGAUUGUUGCUUCCUCCUCCUAACAUCGAUUUCAUCUUUCCUCCAGUCAUGGAGCACGCUGGCUAAGAUGGUAACCCUAGCUCCAACCGUAAGAGGAAGUAUAAGGAAGAGGCUGGUAACAUCCCCUGGAAAGACUUAAAGGUUGCCAUGCAGCCAAAUAACUUUAGGUACGUUAACAAUUACCUUGCAGGGCGUCGAGCCACUGUUGACGAGUUCGAUGGGCCACUAGCCGAGAACGAAUCGGAUCGUGACCGGAUGAUGAGGCUAUCUGCUUAUUUAUGAUUGAGUACGAUGAUAGGCUACGAGAGGUCGAGCGAUACAAGGCAAAGUUUUAAGAGAACAAGUAGCUUGUGGAUGACGCCAGGAAGAAGAGCAAUGCUUGGAUUGAGGCUGUCUAGCUCAAGGACCAAACCUUAGAGAGGUUGAAGAGGCGAAAUGAUGAAAACUUGCGGCUCAAAAAGCAAUUGGAGGCAACUAUCCUUGAGGCUUCCAAGGUUAGAGAGAAGCAAGAUAGUGCCUUGGCUAAGGUUUCUGAGCUGAAAAAGAGCCUUCCAACUGAAAGAGAAGCUACCGUGCGAGAGUUCUUACAUUCUCAGGCUUUCCGCUAUGUCAUUAGGCCUCUACUACACCCGAGAGAUUUGGCUUAAGAAAAGGAAACGAAUGGCACUCCUUGAGCGAUACGAUUGCGGAGGCAUUAUCGACAAGUACCAUGAGGAGAUGAAGGAACAUCGAUGAAAGGGUGAACCCUUUCAUCCUUGAACUCAAUCCUAGUAGUGAUAAGGAGUCUGAGGAUGGCACCAGUGCUGAUGAGCAGACUCAGCAGGGUGAAGAUGGUCCUAGAGAUGCCGAGGAUGUCGGUGAUGACGAUGGAGGUAAGACAUAACAUGAUAUUAUCGAGAGUUCGACCUUAGAUGACGAUGAUUCGUAGUGCCUUCACUUCCUACAUGUACUAGUUUGUUGUAUGUAUGCCAUUUGUUAAGUUAGCUGCCUAAGGGCUUUUUGUUUAUGGAUGUUUACGACAUUGCUCCAUUUAUUUUGAUGUUAAGUGCCAAGUAUUUGAACUAUCAUUUAUGAAUGCUUGGCUAUGUUCGAAUA